rnacentral:lncRNA from 1 species
GCAAGGCCUGGGACACGGCCGGACAGACCGCGGGGCAGCCCUCGGAGAAGUGGGAAGAGGAGAGAAAACAGUGGCGAAAAGAAGGUCUCCUGGGAAGGAGCGCCCUGGGAAGCUGGACGCGGUAUAACAGAGCCAAAAACUCUCAAGUCACAAAGCCCAGGCAUGCACCAUAGAAAAAGAUGUGAUCUCUAACAAACAUCCAGAACCAACUAUUCGUCUCCUUGGAACGAAGAAGACUGGGACAUGACUGGAACCCGAACAUUCGAACUCUCAGAAGGGAAGGGUCUCUUGGCCCAGAAGAUAGGGGCUAAAAUCCACCUCAACAUAUCGUACCAUAAAUGGCCAAAUUUGAAGGCCUUCAAACAGAUCCUGCCCAGCCAACAUUUCUAAGUCCUUUCCUUUGCCCUCUGCUUCCUUAGAACUUGCCCCAGACCCCAAAUCAGGGAGGAAGAUUUGAACCUGCCUCCUGUCUCCUUGCUGGCUGGUCUUGCAAUAAAGUCUUUCUUUUCUCAAAGGCAGUACCAUGGUAUUGCUUCCGUGUACAUUGAGCAGUGAGCCUGAGGCAGGAAAAUAGGGUCAGGAGGCAGGGAACAUAAGGCCAAUUCACACUUCGGCUGUAACAGGAAAUAUCCACUCCAUAGGGCGUAUGCUGUAAGUGACUUUGUAACUUUACUUCAUCCUCUGCAUUUACAUAGAGGGUAAGUGAAGUAAACAAUGGAAUCAUCUAGGGGAUAUUUAAACUUCCAAAAAUUCUGUAACGGGGCCUUUGAGCCCCUAUGUUCGGGCCGCUCCCACACUGUGGAAUGUAAUUUCGUUUUCA